rnacentral:lncRNA from 1 species
GCUGACAUUUUAGAUUCGAUCUUUCAUUUAUCAUCUAUACCAGUUUUGGUCUACAAGUCAAAAGGUUCUUGAGCAUACCACUUCACCAUAAAUAAAUCAAGUGACCCCGCUUACAAAUACCAAGCUCAUAUUCUUAGCAGGCAUCGAAAAAUAACCCUAUGUGUCUGCGGCAUGAAUUGUAAUCAAGAAGCAAAACACAAUUGCUCAACUUAAUCAAAUAAAUUGAUUGGUACUACCUUCAUGAGACAUUACUUGAGAAAUCGAAUAGAAGAGGGCAUCAUCAUUUCCUCGGUGAUCAAUGUUUCGGCUAAAGCAUGUGGGAGACAUCAACAUCAAACAAAUGGGGAAUGUAAUUCACUAGGGUAAUUUAAUUUGCAAGGAAUGAACUAGUGAUUUGUUGCUGGUGCCUCAAUACUAUUUUUUUCACAUAAACUCGCCCAAUAAUCAUAGGCAUGGAUAAGCCAACAAACCAAUUGACUUGCUAGAAAAUUCAACAAGCAAUAGAUCUGAAUCAAUUGUAAUCUGGAGAGAUGGAACCGAUUAACUGGAGAGAAGCCAGCAUAACUGCUAGGGAAAGGCUGGAAGAGUAGCAGAUCCGGAUUAGGCCCAGCGCCUUCUCCAGGGGCUGCUCCUGCUAGUGCAUCAGCAGUCCGGCACCCCUCGUAUCACCAUCUCCACCAUAAUUUCACAUUGCCAACAGGGUCAACAUUUUUUCAGUAAACUGCAGCCGAUGGCUUAAGUCAGAACAAAAGAGGUUGAAUGUAAAACCUCAAAUGGAAACUCACCGGCCACCAACGGAUCCAGACCUGGCUGCAGCCCCCUAAUUGCUGCGCGCAGCCGGCGCUUCCACACUCCGCGGCAGCAGCAUCAGAGGGACCGGAUCCGACUGCUCCAAGCUGUUCGCGAACUCCUCCCAGCGUGGGAACCUUGAAAACCACAGCAGAGUAAGCGGCGGCGGCGGGGAAUCAGUAUAUCCAUCGAAGCACGAAAAUCCAUGGGCGAGCACUGUGGAACAGAAAACUCACCGGUCACCCCAUCGGCAUCCAUCGCCGCUCCGCCGCAAGAAGUCGCGUCCCCUACGCACGCCGUUACCAUCGCACAAGUUUUGAGCCACGGCUCAGACACCCGCACUCACGGAUCAACGCCACC